AAACCUAAUUCAGAUCAUGGCUUUCCUCUCUUCUAAGCCUCCAUUGGCUGCCUUACAAUGGCCUUCAAUGCCAUAGAUGAUUUACUCUUGAGCUAGAUGACUAAGUAACAUUAUCAAAUAUCCAUCAAGCAAAGUUAAGAUGAGAGAAAUGAAAAGAGGCAGGAUACUCUGUAACUCAACUGCUCUCAAUAUAAUUAGAUUUUGACUGAAAUACAAUGAGAAAAUUGUAUUCUGUUAACUUGGAUUUCCUUUUUCUUCUGCUCAGCCUACCUCUUACUACUCCUCCCUUUGCUCAUUCUUCUAGAAACACUGGCUUGUGAACCACUUCUUAACCAUGCCAGUUUUGCUUCCAACCCAGGCUUUUGAACUUGCUGUUUUCUUUUGCCUGGAACCAUUCUUCCCAUAAUUAUUUCCAUGGCUCAUUUCCUCGUUUCUUUCAGGACUGGACUCAAAUGUCACCUGCUUAGAGAAGACUUAUUUGACUUACUACUUAAGUUUUCCCAUUUUCUAGCAUUCCUUAUCUUCUUUUCCUGCUUUAUUUUUUUCUAUAGCACUUACAACCAUCUAGUGGAUUUUAAUAUACAUCUCCCCUAGCCCAUGACAGAAAGAAAACUACAGGAAGACAGGCUCCUUGGCAACCUCUCCACUGAGCAUCGCCAUCCCGCAGUUUUCUGAGGCAUUCCCUCCGCAGCAAACAUCCUGCCACUCAGCCUCUGCUCCAUGUGCAUAUCAACAUGCAGCCCCUGACUCGGACUUGCUUAGUCCUACCUGGUGGCCACCUUUAGUUGGGUUCAUAGUGAAGGCUCUGCCUUUUCUUCUAUGUACUCCCGAGCCUAUAUCCUGCCAGAAUUGUAAGUUCUAUUCAGACACCUCAAUAGAUUGGCACUGGUUUCUAUUUCCUGGACCCCAGGGACCCACACUCAGUUCUUCAAAGCAUCCUCUCACUGUGGUCCCCAAAGCAUUCUCUGACAUCAUCCUUCUACCAGGGGUGGGUUAGGAAGUAGAAAGCAUCCACUUCUUUCCACCUCCUGUUAGGCAGACAACUAUCUUCACGGAAAACAGUACUUACAAAUUCAGCAAAUCUAGCAGAUGAUAUUCUAGUACUUCUGUAUAAAAUAUAUGCAUAAAAUCUAGUUUUUGCCUGAGAGUGAAAAUAAUGGAUAAUAUCCAUUGUAACCACCCAUUAGACAGAAAAAUAGGUAGAUAUAGCAAUCUACACAUAUAAAUAGAUAGAUACAUAGAUAUGUAGAUAUAUAGAUUAUAGGUACCUAUGCACAGAUAUAUUCCAAACACUGUUGCCAACUGAUAUGACUUGGAUCUGUCCAAAUCUCAUGUCUAAUUUUAGUCCCCAUUGUUGGAGGUGGAGCCUGGUUGGAGGUGUUUGGAUCAUGGGGAUGGAUUCUCAUAAAUGUUUUAUCACCAUCCCCUUCGUGGUGUCCUUGUGAUAGUGAGUGAGUUCUUGUGAGAUCUGGUUGUUUAGAAGUACGUGGCACCUCUCCCCCACCCCCACCCCCACUCUCUUUCUCUCUUGCCCCUGUUCUCUCCAUGUAAUAUGCUUGCUCCCUAUUUGCCUUCCAUUGUGAUUGGAAGCUUCCUGAGGCUUCCCCAGAAACAGAAGUCACUGUGCUUCCUAUACAGCCUGCAGAACCAUGAGCCAAUUCAA
rnacentral:lncRNA from 1 species